UGAACGCUGGCGGCAGGCCUACCACAUGCAAGUCGACCGGUAACAGGAAUCAGCUUGCUGAUUCGCUGACGAGUGGCGGACGGGUGAGUAAUGUCUGGGAAACUGCCUGAUGGAGGGGGAUAACUACUGGAAACGGUAGCUAAUACCGCAUAACGUCGCAAGACCAAAGAGGGGGACCUUCGGGCCUCUUGCCAUCGGAUGUGCCCAGAUGGGAUUAGCUAGUAGGUGGGGUAAAGGCUCACCUAGGCGACGAUCCCUAGCUGGUCUGAGAGGAUGACAAGCCACACUGGAACUGAGACACGGUCCAGACUCCUACGGGAGGCAGCAGUGGGGAAUAUUGCACAAUGGGCGCAAGCCUGAUGCAGCCAUGCCGCGUGUAUGAAGAAGGCCUUCGGGUUGUAAAGUACUUUCAGCGGGGAGGAAGGGAGUAAAGUUAAUACCUUUGCUCAUUGACGUUACCCGCAGAAGAAGCACCGGCUAACUCCGUG
rnacentral:rRNA from 1 species